ensembl:lncRNA
CACCCCCUCGCACAUGGACCGGAGACCUUCAAGCCUCCAAAAGAAACCAUAAAACCCGUCAACAAAAGCCUGCUCCUCCAGCACAUCCCGAUCUAACUUCCAGUACCCCCUACCAAAGAGGCAGACUGGCGACCCCACCUGCAGGAGCACCCCGUCGUGAUCUGAAAAGAAAACAGGCAACAGCCUCCCAGACAACUUACCCAAAGACCUGGGUACAAAAAUAUAGUUGAGCCUCCGCUCAACCCCCCUGGAGUUGCGCCAUGUAGGACCGGCCAUUUUCGGAGUAGUGUGCAGACCACCAUCAACCAGACCAUGGCAAGCCAUUAGCCCGGUAAUGGCGCCUGCACUGCUAUCCCCCCCUAUUCCUAAAUCUGUAUUAAAAUCCCCCCCAUCACUAAUUUCCUAUUUGUGACACACAGGGGCGUCAGACAGUCCACCAUCUCCCUCCUGUCUGCCACCACUUGUGGACCAUACACCACCACUAAUCUAAAUUUACAAUCCCUUAUCGUGACAUCCACCCCUAUAACCCUCCCCUGCAUUACCACAAAAGAAUCCUCCACUUUUACCUCCUUGUGCCCACACAAAAUCCCUACCCCGAUGAGUGCACCCCCAAUACCCCAAACCGACUCCCCCUUGUCCCACUCCCUCUUAAACCUACUAACAUCCCCCAACUCUCAGGUGAACCUCCUGUAAAAAACAAAAAUCAAACCCCACACCCUCCAAAUAACUAAAAACCGCCCUCCUCUUAACAAAAUCCCUUAAACCCCUUACAUUUAAACUAACAAAAGUAAAAUUAGACCCCAUGAAAGAAUAAAAUAAAACAUGUAAUACACUCAAAUUCUAAACCCAGACAGAAAAAAACUAAAACAGGGGACUCACCCGAUGCUCCCCUGCUCCAUAUCUACCGGUGAAAACACCAUCCGUACUCUCGACAUCCCCCCCAUCUUCCUCCAUCUCACCAACCCAGGAUGCAGGAAUAGUGUUUGGCUCCAGGGUGCCCUGCACCCUGGGUCUACCCCCACACUCCCCCCCUCCCC